rnacentral:misc_RNA from 1 species
UCAUCCGACUCUAUCUCAAGCCGCGCGUGCGCCGCSCGGCCCACCGACGUCGAGUCUGUGAACUCUGGUCCGGGUCACCCCCGGAGGGGUGGACUGACGGACUUGGCUGCGGAUCACGCAAUCCCCCACCAACCUUCCGGCGCCCCUCGCGGUGCGCCUUGCCAAUGAGCCCGUUUCCGGGCGGUGGCGGUCGGUGACGGCCUCAGCGAUUCCCCGCAAUUUGACGGUGUCGACGGACGUUGCCGCCUCCGCUGUCGAGCAACGGAUUAACCACCUAGUAGUUAAUGGUUCGAUUAGUCUUUCGCCCCUAUACCCAAWUUUGACGAUCGAUUUGCACGUCAGAACCGCUGCGAGCCUCCACCAGAGUUUCCUCUGGCUUCACCCUAUUCAGGCAUAGUUCACCAUCUUUCGGGUCCGAUUAGCUAUGCUCUUACUCAAAUCCAUCCGAAGACAUCCGGAUCGGUCGAUGGUGCACCCUAAGGUUCCCACCUCCGUUCACUUUCAUUACGCGUAGGGGUUUGACGCCCGAACACUCGCAUAGAUAAUCGACUCCUUGGUCCGUGUUUCAAGACGGGCCGCUUACAA